AACGAACGCUGGCGGCAGGCUUAACACAUGCAAGUCGAACGCAUCCUUCGGGGUGAGUGGCAGACGGGUGAGUAACGCGUGGGAACGUGCCCUUCUGUUCGGGAUAACCCAGGGAAACUUGGGCUAAUACCGGAUACGUGCGAGAGCAGAAAGAUUUAUCGCUGAAGGAUCGGCCCGCGUCUGAUUAGCUAGUUGGUGAGGUAAUGGCUCACCAAGGCGACGAUCAGUAGCUGGUCUGAGAGGAUGAUCAGCCACACUGGGACUGAGACACGGCCCAGACUCCUACGGGAGGCAGCAGUGGGGAAUAUUGGACAAUGGGCGCAAGCCUGAUCCAGCCAUGCCGCGUGAGUGAUGAAGGCCUUAGGGUUGUAAAGCUCUUUCGGCGGGGACGAUAAUGACGGUACCCGCAGAAGAAGCCCCGGCUAACUUCGUGCCAGCAGCCGCCGUAA
rnacentral:rRNA from 1 species